ACAUUACUGAAACUUCUUGGUAGGAACAUGAUGAGUUUCUCCCCACAAAUUCACCCAUCCACAUUCUCUUUUUAUUUUUAUUUAUUUAUUUGAGGAAGAUUGGCCCUGAGCUAACAUCUGUUACCAAUCGUCCUGUUUUGCUUGAGGAAGACUGUCACUGAGCUAACAUCUGUGCCAAUCCUCCUUUAUUUUAUGUGAGAUGCUGCCACAGCAUGGCUUGACAUUAUCUUUGUUUUGUCUAGUAACUUUGAUAAUUUCUUUUCCCUGUAGCUAACUGAUACAUUAAAAAACAACUAUAAAAUCCUGUCAGGGCUGGCCCCUGUGGCCUAGUAGUUGGGUUCAUGGGCUCCGCUUUGGUGGCCCCGGCGUUUCACCGGUUCGGAUCCUGGGUGGGGACAUGGCACCGCUCGUUGGGUCAUGCUGAGGCAGUGUCCCACAUACCACAACUAGAAGGACCCACAAGUGAAAAAAUAUGCAAGUAUGUACUGGGGGGGAUUUGGGGAGAAGAAGAAGAAGAAAAAAAAAAACAGAAAAUUGAAGGGUUUGAAUAAAAUAAACUUUACCUUGAGUAAAAAAACUUUUAAAAAUUACAACUCAUGACUUUCUCAGAGACUUGGGAUAAGCUUUGUCCUGGAAAUUGAAGAGGACCAGGAAGCAGGAAUCUAUUAACCUUCAUUUCUUAUUUAUUUUUAGUAAACGGAAGUAAAAUUGAGACCCUCUGGUCUCUAGGAGAUAUGAGUGAGGAUGUGUGACCAGUUCUCUAUGACAGCUGAGCCUCAUGUUACAUUUCUAUUCUUAAUAUAUAAAAAUUAUUUCUUGUAGAACAAAUCUAUAGGGAAAUAAGGAAAAUAAAAUACAGCACAUUCUCUUUUGGCAAAGAAAUGCUUAUGUGUUUAAAACAAAUUAACUUUUUAAGGCAGCUCUGAAGAAGUAAUUUAUUUUAAAUAGGUGAACAGUUUACAGCUCUUGUGGGAACACUUUUUCCUGACUUUUCUUCAUCAUAGGAUUAGGCCCUAUGUUUUUAAUUUAAGUCCUUUAAUUUUUGCUGUUAACAUUUAAUUUACUUGAUGACCCCAUACUGUUAACUUUUGACCCAGUGAACUCAGGAUGGUAUAUACAGACCAUAUACCUAAUUUUAAAGAAACUCUUAAAGGAAAAUAAGAGGUUUGAUGUGAAACAGAUUAAAUUCAUUCAGCUUUCCAUGUAGGGAAGUAUCAUACAUACUUAAUCAAAGAACUUUUUUCUUCUUUGGGAGGAUGCAUUUUUAUAAGCAUGGUAUUUUUUUACAAUUAGAUGUUUAUGCCAUUGGCAAAACAUUCCAAAGCUGAUGUGACUCUAACUGCAAUACUUUUAAUAAACUGCAAAACUACUAACAUAGUAUGGUAUGUACCAAACCUUUUCCUGACAAGAAAUUCUUGUACCAUAUGGCUAAAUCUAAUGAUCCCCCCAUCUACCCUUAUUUAUACUCAAAUUUCCUUUCCUUUUAUAGGAAUUGAAAUUCCUAAAGAGUUUAAUCCUUUAGAUGUAAAAACUGUUAGGACAUACAGUUAAUUAUGAUAAAGUUCAAAGCUGCUUCUAAGUCAUUCAAUGUAAGAUACAUAACUUUUAUUUGUCCUUCAAACUAGACCUGUGGACUCACUUUUGAACAUUUCUCCCUAAUUAUAAAACACACGUGCAUUAAAGAAAAUAGAAAAAAAAUAAGGAAUGAUUGGAAGGCAUUGCUUCUGAAGUCCCCUUAACAAUAUACCACUUUCUUCCUUCUUCCCAGUUGACAAAGGAAGGCUCUGUCUAGAAUGACUCUUUAGUCCCUUACUUGCUUGUAGAAUACAAUAGUAGUAUAAUUAACCAGGAUAGAGACAUACGGAGGAAGAAUAGGGCUUUUGGGUGUGUGUGUUUGUGUGUCUAAGGGUGUGGGAUGGAAAAACUGGAAAAGGGGAGGAAGAUGAGACGCCCAAUGAGGACAUACUGAAUAUGGAAGAUUAAGUGCCAAUGGGAUAGCUUUGUAGAGAUGUUCGGUAGGGAGCACAACAUAUAUGUCUGAGGCUUAGAAAGGCCUGGGCUGGAAGGAGAUAUCACUAAAGAGGUGAUAGUUGAAAUUAUGGAGGAAAUGGAUGCUAUUGCUCAUACAGACUGAAUAUAGUGAGAGGAAAUGAGAACCAACAUUAGUAAAUAGGCAAAGUAAGAGGAGGCAGCAAAAGAACUGAGAAGAAAUAGCAGCCAAUGGGACGGAGGAUUCAGAAGGAAAGAAGUCAGGAGUGUCAAGAUAAAGACAGGUCAAAUAAAUUGAAAAAGAUCAUGGCAUUUGGCAAUUUUGUAAUUAGUAAUGUUUGCCAGAACACUUUCAUUGCAUUGAGGUGGCAGAAUUUUGUUUGUGUUGGGGUGAAAAGUAUAUUAAAAUUGAGAAAGGUUACAAUAGAUUUAUAUUAUUUCAAAGCUCUUCAUUUCUUCUUCAAAAUAGAAAUAAAGGAUGAUAGUUGUGAGGAGGUGGUUACAGAAUCGAGGAGGAGAUUCUACAGUGAAGAGUUUAAUAUAUUUAUAAAAUGUGGGAAAGAGUGAGCAGAGAGGAGAUUAAAAAGAGGAGGGAUAAAAGUAAAGCAAGAUCUCUAGGAGAGGAAGCAAUGUAGGAGGAAAGGUGCAGGUAGAGGAUUGACCUGGGAAAAGAGAAAGGAUACUUCUUCCUCUGAGAUUAGAAGGAAGGAAGUGAAGAUAGUUAUAUGUAUAACGUGUAAAUGUGGAGCAAGAAGGUGAGGGAGGUUCAUGGCUGAUAGUAUUGAUUUUUUUUGCUGAUAAAGGAGACAUAAAAAAGAUAAGGGUAUAGGUGAAAUAGCAAGUUUGAAUUGAUGUAAGAUGUUAUAAAAUAUAUGCUCUAAGGAAGAGGGAAUUAUCCAGGGAGCAUGGUUAUUAGCAGGAGAGACUGAUGCACCUAGGAAUCUAGGCUGGAUAGGAAAAGAUAUGAAGCUGUGUGGGAGAUUGUGGUUUGAAAACAAAAGGGAAUAGUUGAGGAGUGGAGGUUAAAAUAAGGUAAGAAAGCAGGUGUUUAGGGAGUAAUGGAGUGAUAAAAACUGGAAUGGUAAGUGGUUGUGGUCAGAGAUCAGUAUAUUGGAGUCUAAGGCUGUGGAACAAUUAAUUUCCUGCUCAUUAUUUUGAAUAAGUAUUCAUGUUGAAUAAGUAUUUCUAAGAAUGUUGGGUUUUUCUUAUUACAGGCAAUUGAUACUAAAGAAGAUACAAAUGAGAAAGAUGUAGAAAAAAAUUAAUAAUCCUACACCCACAAAUAACCACUAACUCCAUUAUUAAAUUUUCAUAUCUGUUCAUAUAUAUAUAUAUUUCCUAGAAAUAAGUAUUCAGCUAUAUAAUAUACUUUAAUGGCUGAAUAAGUAUUCUAUUAUAGAAUAUAAGGAUGUACUGUUAAUUUUAGCAGUUUCUUAUUUGGGGGUAUUAGUAAUCAGUAUUAGUAUUAGUAAUCAGUAAUCACUGAUUCUAACCAAUUUUUUUCUACUGGUAAUAGGAAAAAUCUAAUAGAUUAGAUUUUAGUAAGCAAGUUAAAUUUUUGGCUUAUUUUUUUCCUUAGGAUAUAGUCUUAGAAGUGGAUUUUUUGGUAGGGUCUUCAUAGUGAGCCUGUUUAUUUUUAUUUUAGGCCUAUUUCUAACAGGCUUAUUUAUGUGCAUUCUUAUUCUAUCCCGGAUUGGAAUCAGAAAAUUGGACAGUGUUGCAGGUACUCAUUGAUGCAGGCCUACCAGCAGCCACAAAAGUGAGAACUGGUAAGUAAAAGUCCUUCUUCACGGGAAUAAUGAUAGGUGUUUUAAAAACUUGGAAUCAAGUACACUUUUCAUGAGCACAGUAAAAAAAUGAUUCAUGAACUAAAUAACAGGACAUAGUGGUCAAUUCAGAAAUACAUUUCAAAUUAAAUAGAAACCUCUAUGAAUAAUCUAUAUUUGUUGACAGCAUCCAAUUUUAGCAGAGGUUUUAAUAAAUCAUGAAUAAUCAUCAAGGUUACUGCUCCUCAAACUUUCACAAAAGUGUGGAUAAUAGCAGAGAAGAAUGAAUAAUUGCCCUAGAAGCUUGGUUCCAAGCUAGGAUUUUCUUUAGUUUCAUGUUUUGUCUUACAUUUAAUAUAAAUGUUGCAUUAUAUAUCAUAAUAGUCCUAUGUUUAGUAUGAAUAUAAUGCUUAUAAACUUUUUCAAAAUAUCUGAGUAGAAUUGAUAUCUAAGAAGAUGCUUCGUGUUUAUUCAGUGCCUUUUAACACCGUGGCAUAGCACAAAUUUCUCUUGCCCUAAGCUGGACUUUUAGAGGCAAGGUUCUAGGCUGUUUCAUGAUUGUAUAAUAUGUUCCUUUUCAGUUUUCUCUUCUACAGUUUAGCCAAGGCUAUUUAUAGUAGUGUAUGGCAGGGAGUAGAUUAAUUGAUGCUUACCCACUUUGAACCUGAGAGUGUCACAGAGUGAAAAUUCAGUAUCAUUGCCAACAGAAUACACUACAAGAAAUGUUGAAGAAAGAGCUUCAGACAGAAGGGAAAUGAUACCAUUUGGAAAUACAGAUCUACACA
ensembl:lncRNA